UACGGAGGGUGCAAGCGUUGCUCGGAAUUCUUGGGCGUAAAGGGUAGGUAGGUGGUCUUAUUUGUCUGGGGUGAAAUCCUUGAGCUUAACUCAAGAAGUGCCUCAGAAACGGUGAGACUAGAGUUCUGGAGAGGGUCGUGGAAUUCCCGGUGUAGCGGUGAAAUGCGUAGAUAUUGGGAGGAACACCAGUGGCGAAGGCGGCUCACUGGACCGGAACUGACGCUGAUGCGCGAAAGCGUGGGGAGCAAACGGG
rnacentral:rRNA from 1 species